rnacentral:rRNA from 1 species
UACUCCUACGGGAGGCAGCAGUGGGGAAUUUUGGACAAUGGGCGAAAGCCUGAUCCAGCCAUGCCGCGUGCAGGAUGAAGGCCUUCGGGUUGUAAACUGCUUUUGUACGGAACGAAAAGACUCCUUCUAAUAAAGGGGGUCCAUGACGGUACCGUAAGAAUAAGCACCGGCUAACUACGUGCCAGCAGCCGCGGUA